rnacentral:rRNA from 1 species
GACGAACGCUGGCGGCGUGCCUAAUACAUGCAAGUAGAACGCUGAAGGAGGAGCUUGCUUCUCUGGAUGAGUUGCGAACGGGUGAGUAACGCGUAGGUAACCUGCCUGGUAGUGGGGGAUAACUAUUGGAAACGAUAGCUAAUACCGCAUAAUAGCAGUUGUUGCAUGAUAACUGUUUGAAAGGUGCAAUUGCGCCGCUACCAGAUGGACCUGCGGUGUAUUAGCUAGUUGGGGGGGUAGCGGCUCACCAAGGCGUUGACGCAUAGCCGGCCUGAGAGGGGGACCGGCCACAUUGGGACUGAGAUACGGCCAAGACUGCGACGGGAGGCAGCAGUGGGGAAUAUUGCACAAUGGGCGGAAGCCUGAUGCAGCAACGCCGCGGGCGGGAUGACGGCCUUCGGGUUGUAAACCGCUUGCGCCUGUGACGAAGCGUGAGUGACGGUAAUGGGUAAAGAAGCACCGGCUAACUACGUG